rnacentral:rRNA from 1 species
AUUGAACGCUGGCGGCAUGCUUUACACAUGCAAGUCGAACGGUAACAGGCCGCCAGGUGCUGACGAGUUGAGGACGGGUGUGUAUUGCUUCGGAACGUGCCCAGUCGUGGGGGAUAACUACUCGAAAGAGUAGCUAAUACCGCAUACGAUCUCUGGAUGAAAGCGGGGGGCCGUAAAGCCUCGCGCGCUUGGAGCGGACGAUGUCAGAUGAGGUAGUUGGUGGGGUAAAGGCUCACCAAGUCAACGGUCUGAAGCUGGUCUGAGAGGACGACCAGUCACACUGGGACUGAGACACGGCCCAGACUCUUACAGGAGGCAGCAGUGGGGAAUUUUGGACAAGGGAGGCAAGCCUGAUCCAGCAAUGCCGCGUGCAGGAAGAAGGCCUUCGGGUUGUAAACUGCUUAUGUACGGAACGAAACGGCUCUGGUUAAUACCCGGGGCUAAUGACGGUACCGGAAGAAUAAGCACCGGCUAACUACGUG